rnacentral:rRNA from 1 species
UGCGUAGGCGGCGGGGUAAGUCGGAUGUGAAAUCCCGGGGCUCAACCCCGGAACUGCAUUCGAUACUGCCUUGCUAGAGUACUGGAGAGGAGACUGGAAUUUACGGUGUAGCAGUGAAAUGCGUAGAUAUCGUAAGGAAGACCAGUGGCGAAGGCGAGUCUCUGGACAGUUACUGACGCUGAGGCACGAAGGCCAGGGAGCAAACG